CAGGAGUCUCUAGAGUGCGAUGGGACAAGGAAAUCUCAGCCGACCAAACCCUCUCCUAACCUGGAUGACGCUGUGCCAAUUGUGCGCCACCUCAUGGGUCUCCCAGUCACUGCCAGCUGUGACACAGCCUGGGAUCGAACCUGGAUCUGCCACCAUCAGCAUUUCAGCUGCAGUCACAGCAGUCCUCUGCUCUGGCAUUUCAUUUACCGCCUGCACCAGUUCCUACUACAGUAGCCGUGAAGGGAGAAACUUGUGAGGAUUCCCAGAUUGAUUCAGAUCUGCCAUGCACUCCACCACUGCCCGACAGCCUCACCCAGAAGUGCAUACGCUGGGCCUAUCAAGACUGAUAAAGCAGAGAUGGGUGGCUGACAAGGAAAAAUAAAACAUGCACACACUCUCUCUCUCUCUGUCACACACACACACAUUAUCCCCAAUGUAAAGAAAUUGUAAUUACUUGUUUAUUUUAUGGAUGCUCCAGUUUAUUUUAGGAUGGGAGAUAUCUACGCCUGUCUGUCCAUUGUCAGUAUCUACAUAAUUACUCUAAAUAUCUAUCAAAUUCAAAUGUGAUAAUGUGGUAAUAUGUACAGUUUGAGGAAAUUCUGUGUGCUUUUCUUGGAGUUGAGAAACAUGCCUCACUCUCUCUCACACACACAUUAGACCCAAUGUAAAUACAUAGAUUUUAUUUAUGCUCAAUUUUAUUUGAGGAUUGUGUGCAAUAAAGUACAUUGACAGUUAAAACAGUUCGGUUUAUAGGAUAUUUCUCUAAUUAAAAUGAAUGACUGCAGACCUGCAACCCUCUUGUGUCAUCUGGAGCUGAAACGGCCCCACAUAUGUACAUGGUUCCCAGGAGUUGUCCUGCAAAAAUAUUUAUGUACCAAGGCUACCCAUCCACAUCGCUCUGGCCAAACGGAUGUUUGUUCUCCACAAUGAAUGAAUGUAGUGCUUAAAAACCAGGCAAACAAGGCCAAGGCAUGGAGAGAGAGAUGACCUGGAGGGAGUUCCAGACCUCAGCUUUUAAUAAAGCAGAAAAGCAAAGAUGGGUGGUUUCCUUCCUGAUAAACUUGACCCAAAUUCGUGAGCUCUUGACCAUAACACAAUUGUCUUCAGAUAAAUAAUCAGCAU